rnacentral:lncRNA from 1 species
GAAUGGCACUGGACAGGUCCCCAUUAUAAUUAAGUCUCAAAAGGUAUCUAAACUCCACCAUGAUUGAAUAAAACUCCAACUUGUUACAGAUGCAAAUCCUCCUACAAAAUACUUCAGCUUAAUAGUAUGCAACCAGCAAAAUACUUCAGCUUAAUAGUAUGCAACCAGCAACAAUUAAUUUCCAUAAUAGGCCCAAUCAACCAGCAAAUUACGGCCCCUUAAAGUUCCUGCAUCAACAACCAGCAAAUAAUAUAUUCCUAAAAAU